CGCUCGGGACGACCCGGACGUCAUCUUCAGUCGGGGACGGCCCCA
rnacentral:ncRNA from 1 species